rnacentral:rRNA from 1 species
CACGUAGGGCGCAAGCGUUGUCCGGAAUUACUGGGCGUAAAGCGUGCGUAGACGGUUAUUAAGUCGGGUGUGAAAGCCCCGGGCUCAACCUGGGAAUUGCAUUCGAGACUGAAUAGCUAGGGUACGGUAGAGGGAAGUGGAAUUUCCGGUGUAGCGGUGAAAUGCGUAGAUAUCGGAAGGAACAUCAGUGGCGAAAGCGACUUCCUGGACCAGUACCGACGUUCAGGCACGAAAGCGUGGGGAGCAAACAGG